UACAGAGGGGGCAAGCGUUGUUCGGAAUUACUGGGCGUAAAGGGCGCGUAGGCGGCCUUUUAAGUCGAACGUGAAAUCCCCGGGCUCAACCCGGGAACUGCGUCCGAUACUGGAAGGCUUGAGUCCGGGAGAGGGAUGCAGAAUUCCAGGUGUAGCGGUGAAAUGCGUAGAGAUCUGGAGGAAUACCGGUGGCGAAGGCGGCAUCCUGGACCGGCAUUGACGCUGAGGAGCGAAAGCUAGGGGAGCAAACGGG
rnacentral:rRNA from 1 species